rnacentral:lncRNA from 1 species
CAGGUAUUUAGCAAGAGAGUAUGGAGGAGUCAGAUCUGCACCCAGAAUACUAAGUUAAAGGAAGUUAAUAACAAGCAAUAGCUUGAGGAGAACUGCCAAGAAUGGGGGAUUCUGCGAAUGGGACAUGAAUCAAAGACACCACUGAAUCCACAUUUCUGUGCCAGAAACACCAGAGAAUAAACAAGAGAGCUCCAGCUGCUUGCAUUCAGAAGAGGGAGUGGCCAGACUCCGUUGUAAAGCUGCAGGAUUGCAGCUCGUCACAACGACUCUUUCCAGAACCCGUCAAGCUCUGCGAAAGCCAUUUGUUCCCAAAGAGCCUCUUCUGCUCCCUCGCACUCCUCCCACCUACCUGGAUUCCCCUGACUCAACUACUCCUCCUUUAAUGGAAAAGCAGUUCUCUGAGAACAAAUAGGUACAAGCCAUCAUACCGCAAUGUACGAAAUACUGCAAAUAUUAUCUAUAUCAGAAUUGGAUCUUCAAGAUCCCAAAGGAAUAUUGCCCGUGAAAUUUUAGUGACAGACUAUCAAAAGAGUGAAAGGGAAAGAAGUAAUAAGUGCCAAGUGAAAGGAGGUAAAGAAGUAACAAUCUAAUAUCUCGCAUUAUCCCCAGAGGUUGUUGAUGACUGUGAAAGGAGAGGACAGAUGAAUGACGGCAGUGUACUAAAAAGCUGCUGGUCUCUCUGAUAACUAAUUGCUUAGACAUUGCCUCACUGUGGCAA